UUUCCGUAGGUGAACCUGCGGAAGGAUCAUUAUUGUAUAAUCGAGGAACAAGGGCUGUCGCUGACCCGAAAGGUCGUGCACGCCCGAGUGCCCUCACACACAUCCAUCUCACCCCUAUGUGCACCACCGCGUGGGUCCCCCUUUGGCUUGUUCGGUGGGGGGCUUACGUUUUCACACAAACUUUGUAUGCAGUGUAGAAUGUAUUUUUUGUUUUUGCGAUCACGCAAUCAAUACAACUUUCAACAACGGAUCUCUUGGCUCUC
rnacentral:misc_RNA from 1 species